rnacentral:rRNA from 1 species
GUUUUGCCGAGAGGUCCCCACCCGAUCCCAUUCCGAACUCGGUCGUUAAGCCUCUCUGGGCCGAUGGUACUUUGUCUUAAGGCACGGGAGAGUAGGUCGCCGCCAGGU